CACUCCUACGGGAGGCAGCAGUGGGGAAUAUUGCACAAUGGGCGCAAGCCUGAUGCAGCCAUGCCGCGUGUAUGAAGAAGGCCUUCGGGUUGUAAAGUACUUUCAGCGGGGAGGAAGGCGAUAAGGUUAAUAACCUUGUUGAUUGACGUUACCCGCAGAAGAAGCACCGGCUAACUCCGUGCCAGCAGCCGCGGUAAUACGGAGGGUGCAAGCGUUAAUCGGAAUUACUGGGCGUAAAACGCACGCAGGCGGUCUGUCAAGUCGGAUGUGAAAUCCCCGGGCUCAACCUGGGAACUGCAUUCGAAACUGGCAGGCUAGAGUCUUGUAGAGGGGGGUAGAAUUCCAGGUGUAGUGGUGAAAUGCGUAGAGAUCUGGAGGAAUACCGGUGGCGAAGGCGGCCCCCUGGACAAAGACUGACGCUCAGGUGCGAAAGCGUGGGGAGCAAACAGGAUUAGAAACCCGGGUAGUCCCAUG
rnacentral:rRNA from 1 species